GGUACAUUAGUGUAGCGUUUAUCACUUCAGAUUCUGAUAUUCAUCGGGUCACAGACAUUCCGACAACCCCGGUUCGAAUCCGGGAUGGACCU